rnacentral:misc_RNA from 1 species
GGCGUCGGCGGCUGAGUUGGAGGAAGGGAACAGCUUGUCGUCAAUGAAGCCGGAUAGUUCUCGGGUGGUGUUCUUGGGGCCCGGAUCCCCUCCCACGCGGCGUUGGGGAGGCCCGCAGUUGAAGCGCAAGGGAUCGUCUUGGAAGACUAGCUGAGAAUUUAGGCCGUUUUGGGAGGGAACUAAGGAAAUUUCCUCUGCUGACAUAGUUUUGGAGGUCAAAUUACAUGAAAAUGGAACCCUAAUUUUGAUGAAUUGGGAAUGAAAAUGGUUGAGCUAUUGAAGG